UAUAUCGGAACGUACCCAAGAGUGGGGGAUAACGUAGCGAAAGUUACGCUAAUACCGCAUACGAUCUACGGAUGAAAGCNGGGGACCGCAAGGCCUUGUGCUCCUGGAGCGGCCGAUAUCUGAUUAGCUAGUUGGUGAGGUAAAGGCUCACCAAGGCGACGAUCAGUAGCUGGUCUGAGAGGACGACCAGCCACACUGGAACUGAGACACGGUCCAGACUCCUACGGGAGGCAGCAGUGGGGAAUUUUGGACAAUGGGCGCAAGCCUGAUCCAGCAAUGCCGCGUGAGUGAAGAAGGCCUUCGGGUUGUAAAGCUCUUUUGUCAGGGAAGAAACGGCUGUGGCUAAUAUCCACGGCUAAUGACGGUACCUGAAGAAUAAGCACCGGCUAACUACGUGCCAGCAGCCGCGGUAAUACGUAGGGUGCAAGCGUUAAUCGGAAUUACUGGGCGUAAAGCG
rnacentral:rRNA from 1 species